rnacentral:rRNA from 1 species
GACGAACGCUGGCGGCGUGCUUAACACAUGCAAGUCAAGGGGGCCCGCAAGGGCAACCGGCGAACGGGUGCGUAACACGUGAGCAACCUACCGAUUUGUGGGGGAUAGCCGGCCCAACGGCCGGGUAAUACCGCAUACGCUUUUCCGGUCACCUGACUGGAUCAGGAAACUUUCGAGGCAGAUCGAGGGGCUCGCGGCCUAUCAGCUAGUUGGCGAGGUCACGGCUCACCAAGGCGACGACGGGUAGCUGGUCUGAGAGGAUGGCCAGCCACAUUGGGACUGAGAAACGGCCCAGACUCCUACGGGAGGCAGCAGUGGGGAAUCUUGCGCAAUGGGCGAAAGCCUGACGCAGCGACUCCGCGUGGGGGAUGACGGGUUUCGGCUUGUAAACCCCUGUUGCCCGGGACGAACUUCUCCUUUCGAGGAGAUUGACGGUACCGGGUGAGGAAGCACCGGCUAACUCUGUGCCAGCCGCCGCUGUAA